CGAAACUCUGCGUCCUGAGCAUACAUACGGAGACCUCGCGUCUCAUUUCAAGCUUGGGGGAAAGUCCCCGGACCCUGGGCAGAGAGUGCUAGCCGUGAUGGCUUACCCUCCGUUCUGAGCUGCAGGGCGAAGACAGUAUCCGCGCUGGAAACGGCAGGCUACUUGAGCCCGUAAUGUGGCUUGGUCGGAGACGUUCGUCCCAGCACAGUUAUGCAGAUGGCGCCUGCCUUUCCGGCACGCGCAACAAGACGGGGCUUAAUCUCGGAG
rnacentral:RNase_MRP_RNA from 14 species